rnacentral:lncRNA from 1 species
UAUAGACUACGUCAUAGAAGAAGAACUUCUUCAUAGAAGUCUCAUCCACCUCAUGGUACCACAGUGUUGUUGCUGUAGGGCAUUGUCUGCGGAGGGUAAUUUUACUGUGCAAAUAGCAGUUGUGUACAAUUGUUAUGCUGCCACCAGGCGGAAUGGUCCAGUGCUCACAGUGACUUCAAACACAUUUUUGGAUUCAUGUAUAGGUUAAGGAAUAAGACAGGCAGUUACCAAAAAUGUUCCACCCAUUUAUAUUUAUAUUUUAUUGUAUUUAUAUUUUUGUUCUGCUUUUGCUUGAUGUCUCUAAUGAGAACACCGAAGCCCAGGAAAAGAGAACUGUCUUCUGGGUACCUUACACCAAGGAGGGACUCCAAAUAUGAAGUGUAGAAAUCAAAAUUCUCAAGACGAAGGGUUCUCUGAGGUGAAAGGGUCCUUUGAGCCAUCACAGAUGGUAGGUAGAAAAGGACCCACUUCUGAGACAAGUUCCCCCCUGGGUAGUAGGAAAAAAAUGUUUCUCUUUAAUGAACGUUGGAGGAAGGAAAGCAUGUGUUUAUUUAGGCCUGUGCUGUCUAUGAGCAAAUGACAAGGGGGGGUGGGGUUCUGGAAAAGAUCCCGAUCCAUAAAAGGAGGGUCCCCAUUCAUAAAAGGAGGGUCCCCAUCCAUAAAAUGAGGGUCCCCACCCAUAAAAGGAGGGUCCCUACCCAUAAAAGGGGGGUCUUGCUGCUUCUGGCUUACUGAGAUUGGCAAUAUAGAGAUGUAUGUAGGUGACCCUGAGUGUCAUUGCAAUGGUAUUAAGUCAACAGGACGUACUUUGGGGAAUGUGAAAAGUCUCUUGUUGGCUUCCCUAUCUCCCCACCCACAACCUCUGGCUCUUAUCAUUUAUUUAAGACAUGGCAGAUAUUUUACUGUUAUCAAAACCCAAGUUGAAUGAAAUAAAGCCUGUGGGGUUUUUUUUUUUCAUAAAAACUAAUGUAAUAAAUGAACUUUGACUAAAUCUUAGACCAACACCAUCACUGCCAUAUGUGUAAAGCACAACUGACAGGCUGCUAUUAGAUCACUAGAGCCAUCACAGAAAAGGACCAGAAGAAGGAUGGCAGAAACCAUUGAGAUUUCUUCCUCAUGUUUCUGGAUCCUGGCACUCCAAGAAAAGGGUGCUGACAGAGUCUGUCUCUUUGUACACCACUCUGUUUAACUUAGCUCUUGUCUUUUUCCCCAUCUUCCAGUCUUUUUGGUAUUCUAAUGUGUAAAAAAUAAUUAGGUUUUCCUCCCAACCUCUUAAUUCCCAGAAAUAGCAACUCUGAGACUAAUCACUUAAUAAGUGUUUAGGCCAUAAUCUUUGGCUUGUUCUCAGAGUUGUCCUUAACUUAGUGUCCCUUUUAUUCUAACCUGGGUUCAGCUAUGUGGCUGGUUUCCUCUCCUUGUCUUCUUACAUUCAGCUCUUCAAAGUUCCUGGGGCAAAUCUCCCCUUGGUUCUAUCCUGAAUUCAGCUACCUGCUGGUUUCUGCCUGUCUCUUCCUCAGAGUUCCAGGUGAAUCUCUCCUUAUUUUAUCCUCAGAGUUUCUGCUCGAUUAUCUCUUGCCUCUAACUAUUUUCCAGAAUUUUCUCUAUCCCUGUCGGAUGUCUCACCUAUCUUCAGCCUCAGCUCAUUGGCUAUAAGCUUUUUUAUUGACAGGUGAUGCAUAUGAGAUAUUCUCUCUAUACUAAUGUCUCCCUAUAAAGACAUCACUUAUAUUGGACUGGGGUACCCUAAUGACUCCAUUUCAGCAGGAUUCCCUUUUAAAGACCCUAUACUGACAUAUAGACACUGUCUCAGCUACUAGGGGUAAGAAUGUCCUAUGCAAAAUUUGGGAGACUUAGUACAGCCCAGGACAGACAGAUGGACAACUGCUAAACUAUGAGCACAAAUAUUAAGUGGUAAUAUGGAAUUCUUGUUAACUUUUCUAGGUGUAAUCAUGGGUCAUGGUUCAGUAGGAAAGCGACAUUUGUGGGGUUCAUUGUGUAAUGCAUAGGGGGAGGGGGAUGGAGAACUGCCCCUUACCUUCAAGUGUUCUCUACUAACAGAACUAUUUAUGGGUAGAAAGAAAACUGACAUAAUGAGAUGGGAUGGUGGGAAGGUAAUAAAACAGAGGCAACAGACAAAAAAUUAUGCGAGGAGGGAGUGUUUUCAGAAAGGAAGCAUGCGCAAAGACAUUUCAGCUAUAGAUUUGCUGAGAGGAGGGGUGGCUGCUUCAGGGGGCUCUAGGCAGAGGUUCAGAGGGCUUUGGCCUGGCUGUGAUCUAUCUCUCUUCAAGGCAGGCUGACUGUGCCACUCUCCAAAACCGCAGUACUAUCUGUGAUCAGCCGUCAGUGUGCAUUUGUGUGUCAGUCUGAAGUUCGGAUUGAGGACUCUCUGAAGGGCACUGCCUCUGUUCCUUCCUGAGGCUCUCAGGUGAAGGUCACCAUUCCCAUGUUGAAAGAGCUACUCUGACUCCAUCAGGCUGUACAUGUGCUCACUGGGCUGUGUUUUCUUCUUUGGCUGUUUUGCUAAGCAUUAUGGGUUAGAUAAGGAGAGGUCCAGGAAUAGGUGCUUAGCAACUCCGAAAGGCUCAUGCAGAAUGCAAGUCCUUAGUUUAGACUCUGUAAGGAGCAAUACGCCAUUAGGUAUGAUAGGUAAUCUUUUGUUUCCUGAAACAAAAAUUAACCUAUGUGUGUGUAAUUUACCUAUGUCUGUGUGUGUUUAUAGUUUUUAUCCCAAUGUAGGUCAAGGCUAUGUAGAGCUAUUUGAAGUUAACAGUCCUUGAACUCAACUCUCAGUAAGUCCAGGAACACUUAUGAAAGAAAAGGUAACGAAUAACUGUUCUUUCUAGUGAAUAGAACACGCUGAGGAGAGAAGAUGAAAAGCCAUCGUCUAGGCUCGGGGCAUGGCCAGUUUGUUGUAAUAGAUCAAGGGAAAAGUUUGUUCUCAGGCUCUAGAACUGUGAUAAAACCAGGCUAAGUCAGUAAGCCUCUAACACUUAUCUUUAACAUUUCAAAUUUAGGACAAAAUAUUUAUUUAAAAGAUAAAAAAAUAUGUUAUGUCUUGAAAGGUGUUUUUGUAGCAGUCAGAGAUGGAAACGUUUAAAUCAUCUUUCUUCCUAUACUGUAAUUUUAAGCUUCAAAGGCUGCUCCUUAAGAGGCAUGCGUCUGUGACAGGCUCCCAGGCCUUACUCCCUUCUGCAUGUUUCUGUCUUUGUUCCAUUUUCUGCUCUCACUAAAUGUUUUCCUUUGUUCAAAAAUAAGGGUAUCAUGUUUUGUUCUGUUAAGAUGAAUGGACCCUCUCACCAUCUAGGGGGGUAUCAGUCUCACAGUGAAGAGAAAUUGAAAUACAAACUAACAGAUAACAGUGCCCUCUAUUAUUUUCAAAUUUGUUUAUUUAUUUACAAGCAAAAAUAUGUGUGUAUGUUAAAGCCAUAUGUGUCAGAGUACCCAAAGAGACCAGAGAUAUCAGAUCCCUAGAGUUGGGGUUCUAGACAGCUGUGAGUUAGGAAUCAAACCCAGAUCCUCUGUGAGAGCAGCAACUGCUCUUAGCUGCUGAGUGAUCUCCCCAGUCCCCUGUGUUAUUUUUGUAAAUUAAUACUAAUAUAAUUUUAAAGAAAACUUAAGUAUUUCAUUUCCCUCAGAAAAUUUAAUGCUUUUAAUAUUAAAACAUUAAUCUUGAUUUUUAAAAGAUCUUUAUUAUAGGCUAGAGAGAUGGUUCGGCCAUUAGGAGUGCUUAUUACUCUUGCAGAGGACUCAAGUUCAGUUCCUAGCAGCAACAUAAGAUAUUUCACGACUUGUCAUAACUUUGACUCUGUAACAUCUUUUUCUGGUUCCUUUGGGCAUCCACAUAAAUAUCGGUAUGUAUACACACAUGCACAUUCAGGC